GGGUCGCUAGCUCAGUUGGUUAGAGCGCAGUCCUGAUAAGACUGAGGUCCAUGGUUCGAAUCCAUGGCGACCCACCU
rnacentral:tRNA from 1 species